AGUACGGCCGCAAGGUUAAAACUCAAAGGAAUUGACGGGGACCCGCACAAGCGGUGGAGCAUGUGGUUUAAUUCGAUGCAACGCGAAGAACCUUACCUGGUCUUGACAUCCUGCGAACUUUCUAGAAAUAGAUUGGUGCCUUCGGGAACGCAGUGACAGGUGCUGCAUGGCUGUCGUCAGCUCGUGUCGUGAGAUGUUGGGUUAAGUCCCGUAACGAGCGCAACCCCUAUCCUUAUUUGCCAGCACAUCAUGGUGGGAACUAUAAGGAGACUGCCGGUGAUAAACCGGAGGAAGGCGGGGACGACGUCAAGUCAUCAUGCCCCUUACAUCCUGGGCUACACACGUACUACAAUGGUAAGGACAAUGAGCUGCAAGCCUGCGAAGGUUAGCCAAUCUCAAAAACCUUAUCUCAGUUCGGAUUGCACUCUGCAACUCGAGUGCAUGAAGGUGGAAUCGCUAGUAAUCGCUGGUCAGCAUACAGCGGUGAAUACGUUCCCGGGUCUUGUACACACUGCCCGUCACACCAUGGAAGUCGACUCUUCCCUAAGUCGUUACUCGAACCCAUUGGGACGAGGAUGCCGAAGGCAGGGUUGGUGACUAGGGUGAAGUCGUAACAAGGUAACC
rnacentral:rRNA from 1 species